ACUCCUGUUUAUUUUUGUGUUUUGUUGUCGAAAUUGUUUAGUUAAUUUUGAGGUUUACUUGGUUUAUUCACAGUAUAGAAUAUUCUGGUUUAUUUAAAAAUUUAAUAUUAUAUCACAGUUUUAUUAUAGUGUAUAUUGUAAAUAUGUCAUGCUUUCUUAGAAACCAUAGAAACUGCAAAAAUGUUAAGACUCGUGCCUAUAAAUUCCGAAGUGACAUUUUCUCGUUUUGCUAGAAAGGGAAAAAUAUUUGGGAAAUGGCUUAUUGCCAUUGAUAUGGGAUGGAAUGAAACCAUUACAUGGUCAAAGACUAUGUUUAUUUGUUCCCUUCAUUUUAAUAAUAAUUAUAUCAAAACGGAAAACGGAAAAUUCUCAUAAAAGAAUCCUUCCCUUUAUUGAAAAGAACAUUGAAGAUGAAAACAAACCAUUGAUAUCAAAAAUUAUCGAACCUUUACCAUCAACUUCAGAAAUAAAAACGAUUGAACCUACAAGUUUAUCCCAUAUAUUGUUAACAUCUUUGCCUUCGAUGUUAUCUGUUUCCAAAAGAAAAAUUACAAAGGAUGGCAAUGGGAGUGAAAAUUUAUAUUUCACUUGUGCAACAGUUUGGGCUUAAUCAAGAAAUGACUCAAGUGCAGAUAGACAAAGAAAAUUUUUACAGGCUGAACACACCUAUUUAGUAAGAUAGUAGACGUCAAAAUAUGAAAUAACCACCUAGUCAUCCGUACGAAUGAGGAGGGCGAACCCAAUCGAGUAGAGUCUACGGAAGUGAAUUAUUGGAGACUCACCAGGAAACCCAGGAGGCAGCAGAAAACACCCUUGAGAACGGAGACAAUCAUCAUCAUGUUAGGAGUCAUGGGCUGGUGCCAAACCAGCCCUGGAUAAACAAGCUAUCUCUCUAGAUCUCCAACAUGUGCCAUCAACCAGGUCUGGAGACCAUGAGGUCAGCAAGUGGAUAAAGGACAAACAACGCCAGGAAGGCCAACUCACCAUCAACGGAGACUCGCCAGCACCUCAAGAAGGAUACUGGCAGUACGAGUCAAAAUAUGUUAAAUAUAUUAUAUAGUGCUAUUAUGUUUUUUAGAUCGAGAUAUCUGAGUUUUUACUAAUUUUCAGAACCCCUAUUUGGAUAUAUUCUAUAUUCAACUUUUUAUGACCUAUUCAUUACGGAACACCCUAUAUAUUAUUAUUAUUUAUUUAUUUAUUAUUUUUAUGUUUUAAGUGUGAAUAAACU